rnacentral:misc_RNA from 1 species
GAAAUGCGAUAAGUAAUGUGAAUUGCAGAAUUCAGUGAAUCAUCGAAUCUUUGAACGCAUCUUGCGCUCCUUGGUAUUCCGAGGAGCAUGCCUGUUUGAGUGUCAUUAAAUUCUCAACUACACUUAAGUUGGUGUAGAUUGGAUUUGGGGGGGGAUUUUUGCGGGCUUUUGUAAAAUGAAGUCGGCUCCCCUGAAAUUAAUUAGUGGUACCUUAGUAGAACCUUCUACAGGUGUGAUAAUUUAUCUAUGCCUUGGAUGUCUGCACAAAAAGGUUAUGCUGCUUCCUAACCUCACUGAUGACAAUCUUGACCUCAAAUCAGGUAGGACUACCCGCUGAACUUAA